rnacentral:rRNA from 1 species
GACGAACGCUGGCGGCGUGCCUAAUACAUGCAAGUUGAGCGCUGAAGGUUGGUACUUGUACCAACUGGAUGAGCAGCGAACGGGUGAGUAACGCGUGGGGAAUCUGCCUUUGAGCGGGGGACAACAUUUGGAAACGAAUGCUAAUACCGCAUAAAAACUUUAAACACAAGUUUUAAGUUUGAAAGAUGCAAUUGCAUCACUCAAAGAUGAUCCCGCGUUGUAUUAGCUAGUUGGUGAGGUAAAGGCUCACCAAGGCGAUGAUACAUAGCCGACCUGAGAGGGUGAUCGGCCACAUUGGGACUGAGACACGGCCCAAACUCCUACGGGAGGCAGCAGUAGGGAAUCUUCGGCAAUGGACGAAAGUCUGACCGAGCAACGCCGCGUGAGUGAAGAAGGUUUUCGGAUCGUAAAAAUCUGUUGGUAGAGAAGAACGUUGGUGAGAGUGGAAAGCUCAUAAAGUGACGGUAACUACCCAGAAAGGGACGGCUAACUACGUG